UGGCUCAGAACGAACGCUGGCGGCAGGCUUAACACAUGCAAGUCGAGCGCCCCGCAAGGGGAGCGGCAGACGGGUGAGUAACGCGUGGGAAUYUACCCUUUUYUACGGAAUAACGCAGGGAAACUUGUGCUAAUACCGUAUGUGUCCUUCGGGAGAAAGAUUUAUCGGGAAAGGAUGAGCCCGCGUUGGAUUAGCUAGUUGGUGGGGUAAAGGCCUACCAAGGCGACGAUCCAUAGCUGGUCUGAGAGGAUGAUCAGCCACAUUGGGACUGAGACACGGCCCAAACUCCUACGGGAGGCAGCAGUGGGGAAUAUUGGACAAUGGGCGCAAGCCUGAUCCAGCCAUGCCGCGUGAGUGAUGAAGGCCCUAGGGUUGUAAAGCUCUUUCACCGGAGAAGAUAAUG
rnacentral:rRNA from 1 species